rnacentral:lncRNA from 1 species
AAGAUUUAAUCAACCCUAGGACCAAUUACUAAUGAUCAAUAGAUUAUCAUUAACCCAUGACCAAUCACAAGGGCAAAAAUGUCCAAUAAAAAGAUUUUAAAAAAUGGUUAAUGGUAAUAAAUAAAAUAUUUGAUGAUAUGUACUUAAAGAAAAAUUUGGUUAAAAAUAAAUAAACAAGGAAAAAGAAAUUAAAAUGAAAAGGGUUGUGAAAUUAAAUUAAAUGAAGAAAAGAAAUUAAGAAAGAAAAUAAAAGAAAAUGGAUGAGAAAUUUGAACAAAGGGGGCGCCAGGGGUUGAACCCCUGACCAUGGGGUCAUAUGCCCAAGAACCAACCACUGGACCAAGUGCUCUUGGUUGAUAAUAAACACGCUGAUAAAAACAAAUAAAAUACCCCAAUUAGAAAUAACAUAUGAACCAACCACAACUCUAUGAUCUGAUUACUUAACAAAAGUAUGCAUAAUGAAAUGUCUUGAUCCUAGGGAACACACA